rnacentral:rRNA from 1 species
UACGAAGGGGGCUAGCGUUGCUCGGAAUCACUGGGCGUAAAGCGCACGUAGGCGGAUCUUUAAGUCAGGGGUGAAAUCCCAAGGCUCAACCUUGGAACUGCCUUUGAUACUGGGGAUCUCGAGUCCGGAAGAGGUUGGUGGAACUGCGAGUGUAGAGGUGAAAUUCGUAGAUAUUCGCAAGAACACCAGUGGCGAAGGCGGCUCACUGGUCCAUAACUGACGCUGAGGCACGAAAGCGUGGGGAGCAAACAGGG